rnacentral:lncRNA from 1 species
UAUGUUGUCAUGUUAUCAACCUUCUGCCAUAUUUAACCAAUUAUUCGUGCCGCAUCCACCUGUUUUAGAGUUCAGAUAUUCUAUUUGAGGUGUCCACAGGAAAAUUUGCAAAAUGACAAUUUCCUUGUAUCUGUGUACUGAUUCCCUUCAAAUGCAUAAGAGAAGUAGUAACAGUUCAUGACCCUCAAAUGUUGAAAGUCACAAGAGAGAGCCUUGAUGAUGUUCAUAUUCAACGCCCUACCGACAGUUGGAUCUAAAACCUCUGAUGAUUAUUUCUUGCUUGAAACGUAAAUGCCAGAUAUUAUGGCCACUCCUGCAACUGCAACUCCAAGGGUUGUCACAAUCUUCGCAACAGAAAUGAGAGGUUUGGG